GCCGUUAUAGUAUAGUGGUCAGUACUUCCGCUUGUGGAUUGAUGCGACAGCUCAAACUGCGAUACGCGGACAACGUAGGUUCGAUUCCUGCUAACGGCA